rnacentral:pre_miRNA from 12 species
GGUGUACUGGACAUUUUGGGUGUGUGAUUUGUGGCAAAGUGAUAGGUAUUUGAUCAUCCCCUUGUUGCAAACCUCACGCCCAAGGUGCUUUCCAA